UUUUUAUCGUGCGAGGAUUGAUGAUUAUGAUGAUUGAUUGGGCUUCUUUAAUUUGAGCAGAGAACCACAUCACAUCGGGACUGGUGUUGCCUUCAUUGGAAUCCUUCUCGACUUUGCUCUUCAGUCUUAUGAUGUCUUUCGCUCUUUGGUCUUUCAAUUUUGCUUUUGGCGAACAGCACCAACUCCCAUUGGGGAGUCUCCUAAUGGCUUGUGGAGUUUCCUUUCUUCUUCUCUUUACCAAUUGGGAUUAUUCAACAAGGCGCAACAAACAUGCAAUCCAAGGUUGAAUGUCAGUGUUUACAGAGUUCAUCAUUUAAUUAUAUCAGCAUCUCAGAAGCUCUCAUGCUCCUGGGUGACGUCAAACUAUGUAGG